AUUGAACGCUGGCGGCAGGCCUAACACAUGCCAGUCGAGCGGAUGAAGGGAGCUUGCUCCUGGAUUCAGCGGCGGACGGGUGAGUAAUGCCUAGGAAUCUGCCUGGUAGUGGGGGAUAACGUCCGGAAACGGGCGCUAAUACCGCAUACGUCCUGAGGGAGAAAGUGGGGGAUCUUCGGACCUCACGCCAUCAGAUGAGCCUAGGUCGGAUUAGCUAGUUGGUGGGGUAAAGGCUUACCAAGGCGACGAUCCGUAACUGGUCUGAGAGGAUGAUCAGUCACAUUGGACCUGGGACACGGUCCAGACUCCUACGGGAGGCAGCAGUGGCGAAUAUUGGACAAUGGGCGAAAGCCUGAUCCAGCCAUGCCGCGUGUGUGAAGAAGGUCUUCGGAUUGUAAAGCACUUUAAGUUGGGAGGAAGGGCAGUAAGUUAAUACCUUGCUGUUUUGACGGUACCAACAGAAUAAGCACCGGCUAACUUCGUG
rnacentral:rRNA from 1 species